AGCAGCUGAGCGAUGGUUCUUCAGAGGACUUGGAGGUUUUGGACACCGACAGCUCUGAAGGACCGAGUGGUUUGGGCCCGAUCUGUUUUUGCUCAGACACAAAACCAGAUGCUUCACAGAAUGCCGAAAGAGCGGAGGACGCUUAUUCUAUAGCAAAUGGACAAGAUCUUUUGUCCAACGAGGGCCACAAGCACUCCUGGGAAGAGUUGGAAGGACUUUGGCCUACUGAGGCCCCACAAGACUGGUGGCUGACCUCUGAAUGUCCAGGGAGACUGAAGUGUUCUCCUGCUGGCUUUUGUAUGUUACAAUUCCUGACAUCUGAUUUGUGUCCAUUUAUUCUUUUACAUAGAGAGGGCUUGAAUAGGGACUGGCUCACUACAAAAGCAAUUUUCCCUCUCUUGGUAUUGACACUCCCUCAUCAAUUAUUGGGAGUGAACCACAUCCACCCUGAUUGAAUUGGCCCUGUCAACACUGGUUCUCCACUUGUAAGGUAACUCCCUUCUCUUCACGUCAGUAUAUUUACGCC